GAUGAACGCUGGCGGUAUGCUUAACACAUGCAAGUCGAACGGUCCUUUCGGGGAUAGUGGCGGACGGGUGAGUAACGCGUGAGAAUCUGCCUUCAGGACGGGGACAACAGUUGGAAACGGCUGCUAAAACCCGAUGUGCCCUUCGCGGUGAAAUAUUUAUAGCCUGAAGAGGAGCUCGCGUCUGAUUAGCUAGUAGGUGAGGUAAUGGCUCACCUAGGCGACGAUCAGUAACUGGUCUGAGAGGAUGACCAGUCACACUGGGACUGAGACACGGCCCAGACUCCUACGGGAGGCAGCAGUGGGGAAUUUUCCGCAAUGGGCGCAAGCCUGACGGAGCAAUACCGCGUGAGGGAGGAAGGCUCUUGGGUCGUAAACCUCUUUUAUCAGGGAAGAACACAAUGACGGUACCUGAUGAAUCAGCAUCGGCUAACUCUGUGCCAGCAGCCGCGGUAAUACAGAGAAUGCAAGCGUUAUCCGGAAUUAUUGGGCGUAAAGCGUCCGCAGGUGGUUUUGGUAGUCUGCUGUCAAAGCGCGAGGCUCAACUUCGUACCGGCGGUGGAAACUCCAAGACUAGAGUUUGGUAGGGGUCACGGGAAUUCCCAGUGUAGCGGUGAAAUGCGUAGAUAUUGGGAAGAACACCAGCGGCGAAAGCGCGUGACUGGGCCUGAACUGACACUCAUGGACGAAAGCUAGGGGAGCGAAAGGGAUUAGAUACCCCUGUAGUCCUAGCCGUAAACGAUGACAACUAGGUGUUGCCCG
rnacentral:rRNA from 1 species